GACACCUGACACUCCACUCGGAUCGUCCGGCACGUACCUGCCGGUGGAGGGAAUAAAA
rfam:Actinomyces neuii BVS029A5 genomic scaffold supercont1.2, whole genome shotgun sequence.